UAGGCUUACUAUAGUAACAAGUCGAGCGGACAGAUGGGAGCUUGCUCCCUGAUGUUAGCGGCGGACGGGUGAGUAACACGUGGGUAACCUGCCUGUAAGACUGGGAUAACUCCGGGAAACCGGGGCUAAUACCGGAUGGUUGUUUGAACCGCAUGGUUCAGACAUAAAAGGUGGCUUCGGCUACCACUUACAGAUGGACCCGCGGCGCAUUAGCUAGUUGGUGAGGUAACGGCUCACCAAGGCAACGAUGCGUAGCCGACCUGAGAGGGUGAUCGGCCACACUGGGACUGAGACACGGCCCAGACUCCUACGGGAGGCAGCAGUAGGGAAUCUUCCGCAAUGGACGAAAGUCUGACGGAGCAACGCCGCGUGAGUGAUGAAGGUUUUCGGAUCGUAAAGCUCUGUUGUUAGGGAAGAACAAGUGCCGUUCAAAUAGGGCGGCACCUUGACGGUACCUAACCAGAAAGCCACGGCUAACUACGUGCCAGCAGCCGCGGUAAUACGUAGGUGGCAAGCGUUGUCCGGAAUUAUUGGGCGUAAAGGGCUCGCAGGCGGUUUCUUAAGUCUGAUGUGAAAGCCCCCGGCUCAACCGGGGAGGGUCAUUGGAAACUGGGGAACUUGAGUGCAGAAGAGGAGAGUGGAAUUCCACGUGUAGCGGUGAAAUGCGUAGAGAUGUGGAGGAACACCAGUGGCGAAGGCGACUCUCUGGUCUGUAACUGACGCUGAGGAGCGAAAGCGUGGGGAGCGAACAGGAUUAGAUACCCUGGUAGUCCACGCCGUAAACGAUGAGUGCUAAGUGUUAGGGGGUUUCCGCCCCUUAGUGCUGCAGCUAACGCAUUAAGCACUCCGCCUGGGGAGUACGGUCGCAAGACUGAAACUCAAAGGAAUUGACGGGGGCCCGCACAAGCGGUGGAGCAUGUGGUUUAAUUCGAAGCAACGCGAAGAACCUUACCAGGUCUUGACAUCCUCUGACAAUCCUAGAGAUAGGACGUCCCCUUCGGGGGCAGAGUGACAGGUGGUGCAUGGUUGUCGUCAGCUCGUGUCGUGAGAUGUUGGGUUAAGUCCCGCAACGAGCGCAACCCUUGAUCUUAGUUGCCAGCAUUCAGUUGGGCACUCUAAGGUGACUGCCGGUGACAAACCGGAGGAAGGUGGGGAUGACGUCAAAUCAUCAUGCCCCUUAUGACCGGGCUACAACGUGCCACAAUGGAAGGAACAAAGGGCACCAAACCCCCAGGUUAAGCCCAUCCCCCAAUCUUUUCCCAAUUCGG
rnacentral:rRNA from 1 species